rnacentral:rRNA from 1 species
GGGUGAGUAACGCGUGGGUAACCUGCCUCAUACAGGGGAAUAACAGUUAGAAAUGACUGCUAAAACCGCAUAACAUGGCGAUACCGCAUGAUAUUGCCAUCAAAUAUUUAUAGGUAUGAGAUGGGCCCGCGUCUGAUUAGCCAGUUGGCAGGGUAAUGGCCUACCAAAGCGACGAUCAGUAGCCGGCUUGAGAGAGUGACCGGCCACAUUGGGACUGAGACACGGCCCAAACUCCUACGGGAGGCAGCAGUGGGGGAUAUUGCACAAUGGGGGAAACCCUGAUGCAGCGACGCCGCGUGAGUGAAGAAGUAUUUCGGUAUGUAAAGCUCUAUCAGCAGGGAAGAAAACAAUGACAGUACCUGACUAAGAAGCCCCGGCUAACUACGUGCCAGCAGCCGCGGUAAUACGUAGGGGGCAAGCGUUAUCCGGAUUUACUGGGUGUAAAGGGAGCGUAGGCGGUGCGGCAAGUCAGAAGUGAAAGCCCGGGGCUCAACUCCGGGACUGCUUUUGAAACUGUCGGACUGGAGUGUCGGAGAGGUAAGUGGAAUUCCUAGUGUAGCGGUGAAAUGCGUAGAUAUUAGGAGGAACACCAGUGGCGAAGGCGGCUUACUGGACGAUCACUGACGCUGAGGCUCGAAAGCGUGGGGAGCAAACAGGAUUAGAUACCCUGGUAGUCCACGCCGUAA